UCACACCGCCAAAUCACGCACGGCACUACAUUGCGCGGUUUAGCUAAGAUACAAACCAUACCAAAUCAUUACACUUUUGACAUCGCGGUUUCCGGUGUAAUGUGGUGCGGUGCGGUCGGUCGCCGGAGUUUGCCGGUUUAGAUGCUCAGCCUACUGGUUACCGGAUGUGGUCUUUGUAUUGCUAUACCAUUUUUCUUUCAAAAUAAUUUGACUAUUUGGUAAAGUAAUUGGUAUUGGGUCUGCGAUCGACACAAUAAGAGAAGGAAGCUGGUUACAGACUUAUCUUCAUCUUCUCCAUUUGAUUUUCAGAUCUCAAUCCUCCCUUUCAUCUAUUUCUCCUCCAUUUUGGGAUUUAGUUGAGAUUUCAUCCUUAAGUAAAAUCGGGUUUGUGGUUAAUGUAUGUAUGCAAUGGGCACGACUCAGGCGGCGGUAGAGGUGGCUCGGCUAUUUAUGCUGACUUAUGAAGGUAGAGAAAUUAUGCCGCUAUUGUAAUAAAAACGAAUUUUAGGGGAUACUUGUUAAUUGAAUAAAUAGAUAUAAAAACUUGUGGUUGUUUCCCCAGAAUGUAAAAAAAAAAUAUGAGGAACUAUUCGAGCGCUUAAAGCGCUAGUGAAAUUGCAGGCUUUGGUGAGGGGUCACAGUUUGAGAAAGCAAGCUAAGAUGACCCUUAAAUGCAUUCAAGCUAUGGUUAGAGUUGAGGGUCGGAUCUUGGAUCAACGCGUGAGGCUCCCCCAAUUUGAGCAGUAGAAAGUCAACAUUCAGUGACACCACUAGCGUUUUUAAUUCGUGGUACCUUGAAGACAUCUCGGACAGAAAUUGUUGUUAUGUUUUAGUGGAAAAGUAACAUCCUUCACUUGAAGAUAAAAUUCUUAAAAGCAGUAAAAAAGUUGGUGUUCGCCUUCAUCACAAACUAAAAUGGCUUUGAUUUUUAAGUCGAGAGAGGGAAGUAGCGUUGUAGGUGACAGGGACGUUAGAACACAGAAAAGAAGCUGCAAUGAAGCAUGACAAGAAUUCAUCCCAGACCUUCUCGCAACUGAAGCCAGUAGUACCCACUAACCAGUAAGGAACUGGAAUUUGUAAUUUUAAGGUUUGGCUUGAUGGCUUCGUCGGUGAUAAAAUCGGGAGCAUUGGUUUCACUAGAGCACUUGCAUCCAUCUUCAACACACUUCAAACAAGGGACUUCACCGAUCUCAUUGCAUUAUAAACUGUUUAAUGUUUAUUGCACAUCAAUUAUUGAAUGUCAAUAUCCAAAGAAGGCUUAGUGAAUGACUUUAUGACUGCUCUGUGAUACAACUCUGUUAUGUAAUUUUACUUUGCGAAGGCAUAUAUAUUUUGCAAUGGGUUGUGUGUGGUUAGAAAAUUCUGAAAUUGAGAAUGUAGACUUUGUAUCUACGUUCUUUUAGACUAUCAUACCUAUAAUUGUAUCUCUGGACACACAUAAAUAUUUUGUAGCUAUUAGAGAUGGUGGAAGAUGUUUCAGUUUGA